rnacentral:rRNA from 1 species
CAUAUGCUUGUCACAAAGAUUAAGCCAUGCAUGUCUAAGUAAAUAUCCUUGAAUGGUAGAAACCGCGAAUGGCUCAUUAAAUCAGCUAUCAUACAUUAGAUAAUGAUAAUUCUACAUGGACAACUGUAGAAAUUCUAGAGCUAAUACCUGUCACUAUAUCCGGACCGCAAGGAACGGAUGGCUUUAUUAGAACAAAAUCAACCAGGUUUCGSCCUGUUAGAUUGCGUUGACUCUGGAUAAAGUUUCUGAUCGCACGACCUUGUGUCAGCGACAUGUCUUUCUAAUGUCUGACCUAUCAGCUAUUGUCGGUAGGAUAGUGGCCUACCGAGGCUAUGACGGGUAACGGGGAAUCAGGGUUCGAUUCCGGAGAGGGAGCCUGAGAAACGGCUACUACAUCCAAGGAUGGCAGCAGGCGCGUAAAUUACCCACUCCGGCACGGGRAGGUAGUGACAACAAAUGACAAUACGAUGCACAUCAGUGUUUUCGUAAUUGGAAUGAGUAAAGAUUAAAUACUUUUACAAGUAUCAAUUGGAGGGCAAGUCUGGUGCCAGCAGCCGCGGUAAUUCCAGCUCCAAUAGCGUAUAUUAAAGUUGUUGCAGUUAAAAAGCUCGUAGUUGAAUUCAAAACAAAGAGGGCUGGUUCACCUUCGGGUGCAACUGGUCCACAAGUUUACACAGUCGUGAACUCUUGGUGAUCUUAACCGGUUGUCUUGAGUAAUCGGCAUGUUUACUUUGAAAAAAUUGGAGUGCUUAAAGCAGGCUUAUGUCUGUACAGUGGUGCAUGGAAUAAUGAAAUAAGACUUCGGUUUUAUUUUGUUGGUUUUAAAGAUCGAAGUAAUGAUUAAAAGAGACUGACGGGGGCAUCUGUAUACCAGGGGGAGAGGUGAAAUUCUUAGAUCCUUGGUAGACAAACUACUGCGAAAGCAUUUGCCAAGAAUGUCUUUAUUAAUCAAGAACGAAAGUCAGAGGUUCGAAGACGAUCAGAUACCGUCCUAGUUCUGACCAUAAACUAUACCAUCUAGUAAUCUGUACGGUGUUGAUUUUAUCCGAACAGGCAGCCCCCGGGAAACCAAAGACUUUGGGUUCCGGGGGUAGUAUGGUUGCAAAGCUGAAACUUAAAGGAAUUGACGGAAGGGCACCACCAGGAGUGGAGCCUGCGGCUUAAUUUGACUCAACACGGGAAACCUCACCCGGCCCGGACACUAAUAUGAUUUACAGAUUGAAAGCUCUUUAUUGAUUUGGUGGAUGGUGGUGCAUGGCCGUUCUUAGUUCGUGGAUCGAUUUGUCUGGUUAAUUCCGAUAACGAACGAGACUCUAGUCUGCUAAAUAGUACACUUGUACCUUGGUGCAAGUGAAUGCUUCUUAGAGAGAUAAGCAGCUUUUAGCUGAUGAAAAAGAGCAAUAACAGGUCUGUGAUGCCCUUAGAUGUCCGGGGCCGCACGCGCGCUACAAUUGACGUAUCAGCGAGUUCGACCCGUACGAGAGUAGUUUAAAACUGGUGAAAUACGUCAAUGACCGGGAUCAUGGAUUGCAAUUAUCCAUGUAAACGAGGAAUUCCUAGUAGGUGCACGUCAUCAGCGAGCACUGAUUACGUCCCUGCCCUUUGUACACACCGCCCGUCGCUACUACCGAUUGAAUGGUUUAGUGAGGUUAUUGGAUUUGUGCUAGAAAUGUGGCAACACAUUGCUAGUGUGGGAAAGAUAAUCGAACUUGAUCAUUUAGAGGAAGUAAAAGUCGUAACAAGGUUUCCGUAGUGAACCU